rnacentral:ncRNA from 1 species
GCCGCGCCAGACCGGCACCCGGACGAGGCGCGUCGUACCCGGCCAGCGACAAGACGAUGCCCA